AGAAUUGUUAUUCAGUCUGGGAAAAUCAGACCCACUAUUCAACAAACAAAAAAGACAGCACACUUAACUGCAUUCAUAUGGACUCUGCAACGGAUUCGUUGUCAUGUUUAAGCUGAGCUAUUUCAUUUCCUGAGGCCUUCUCCCCAGGGAUCCUACUCCCCAAGCCAUAUUCUCAGAGCUCUGCCUGUAUUUUGAAAAUAAAUCUGCUGGGAUAAGAACUAAGAAAAUGAAAAAAAGGCAGGAGAUCAGAAAGUGAGAAUAUGCAUAAGAGAAUAAAGGAAGGAGAGCCGAAUGGGAUAAAUAAAACAGUUGGAUGCAAGAAAACAAGAAAGCACAUGGCUACAAGCGAAAAAAGAAAUCUCAUUGCCAACACAGAAUAAACUCCUGAGGCUGAUUACAAGAUUCAAAUGGUUUAAUCCAAAAAGGAGUCACCAUUUCUGCUGCCUUUUAGGGGACUGGUUUUUAAAUCAUGCACAUGUGGAAGGAAACAUCUCCAGGUUCUUCAUUCCAUUCUAUUUUCCACACCAGCUAAGAAAGAAAUACCAGUCAUUUUCAUCCAGGAGGCUGAUUGUUGGUUGAUUCAAAAGAUUGACAAGAACCAAAGCAGAAUGUUACCUAAAGGACUGGAGUGGCUGGCUCAUUAUAGAAGCAACUUUUCCUCUCCUGGAAUUGACAC